UGCGGUUAUACAAAAAUUAAAUUAAUUUUUUUUAGGGUUUAAUAAAUAAAAGUUAAAUUAAUAAUUUAAAUUAUAAAUUAUAAGGUGAAAUUUUAAUUUAAUUAAAAUUUAUUUAUUUUUAUGACAUUAAUAAAUUUUAUAAAAAACUAGGAUUAGAUACCCUAUUAUAAAAAUUUAAAUUUAAUAAUCUUAAAAUAGUAUAUAAUUUUUUAUAAAAACUUAAAUAAUUUGGCGGUAUUUUAGUUCAUUUAGAGGAAUCUGUCUAAUAAUUGAUAAUCCACGAUUAAAUUUACUUAAUUUUUAAUUUUGUAUAUCGUUGUUAAAAAAAUAUUUUUAAAUAAUUUAUAAUAUUUUAAAAUUUAAAUAAAAAAUUAAAUCAGAUCAAGAUGCAGAUUAUAAUUAAGAAUAUGAUGGAUUACAAUAAAAUUUAUUUUGUUUGGAUAUUAAUUUGAAAUAAAUUAAUUGAAAUUGGAUUUAAAUGUAAUUUUAUUAAUUUUAAUAAAAUGAUUUUAAAUUAAAAUAUGUACAUAUUGCCCGUCGCUUUCAUUUAUAAAUUGAAAUAAGUCGUAACAAAGUAGAGGUACUGGAAAGUGUUUCUAGAAAGAU
rnacentral:rRNA from 1 species